CAGUCGCCACGGUAAUACGAAGGGGGCUAGCGUUGUUCGGAAUCACUGGGCGUAAAGGGUGCGUAGGCGGAUUCUUAAGUCAGGGGUGAAAUCCCGAGGCUCAACCUCGGAACUGCCUUUGAUACUGGGGAUCUUGAGUCCGGAAGAGGUGAGUGGAACUGCGAGUGUAGAGGUGAAAUUCGUAGAUAUUCGCAAGAACACCAGUGGCGAAGGCGGCUCACUGGUCCGGAACUGACGCUGAGGCACGACAGCGUGGGGAGCAAACAGGAUUAGAUACCCGGGUAGUCCCUGUCUCUUAUAU
rnacentral:rRNA from 1 species